ACGGGAGGCAGCAGUGGGGAAUAUUGGGCAAUGGGCGAAAGCCUGACCCAGCAACGCCGCGUGAAGGGAGAAGGUCUUCGGAUUGUAAACUUCUUUUAUGAGGGACGAAGGACGUGACGGUACCUCAUGAGUAAGCCACGGCUAACUACGUGCCAGCAGCCGCGGUAAUACGUAGGUGGCGAGCGUUAUCCGGAUUUACUGGGUGUAAAGGGCGCGUAGGCGGGAUGACAAGUCAGAUGUGAAAUCUAUGGGCUUAACCCAUAAACUGCAUUUGAAACGGCCAUUCUUGAGUGCUGGAGAGGUAGACGGAAUUCCUUGUGUAGCGGUGAAAUGCGUAGAUAUAAGGAAGAACACCAGUGGCGAAGGCGGUCUACUGGACAGUAACUGACGCUGAGGCGCGAAAGCGUGGGGAGCAAACAGGAUUAGAUACCCUGGUA
rnacentral:rRNA from 1 species